rnacentral:tRNA from 1 species
GGCCUGAUGGUCUAGGGGUAUGAUUCUCGCUUAGGGUGCGAGAGGUCCCGGGUUCAAAUCCCGGUUAGGCCC